CGACGCAACCCUCGACCUUAGUUGCCAGCAUUCAGUUGGGCACUCUAAGGUGACUGCCGGCUAAAAGUCGGAGGAAGGUGGGGAUGACGUCAAAUCAUCAUGCCCCUUAUGACCUGGGCUACACACGUGCUACAAUGGGCGGUACAAAGGGUCGCGAACCCGCGAGGGGGAGCCAAUCCCAAAAAGCCGCUCUCAGUUCGGAUUGCAGGCUGCAACUCGCCUGCAUGAAGCCGGAAUCGCUAGUAAUCGCGGAUCAGCAUGCCGCGGUGAAUACGUUCCCGGGCCUU
rnacentral:rRNA from 1 species